rnacentral:rRNA from 1 species
GAUGAACGCUGGCGGCGUGCCUAAUACAUGCAAGUAGAACGCUGAAGGAGGAGCUUGCUCUUCUGGAUGAGUUGCGCACGGGUGAGUAACGCGUAGGUAACCUGCCUGGUAGCGGGGGAUAACUAUUGGAAACGAUAGCUAAUACCGCAUGACAACUGUUAAUGCAUGUUAACUGUUUAAAAGGGGCAACUGCUCCACUACCAGAUGGACCUGCGUUGUAUUAGCUAGUUGGUGAGGUAACGGCUCACCAAGGAGACGAUACAUAGCCGACCUGCGAGGGGGAUCGGCCACACUGGGACUGGGACACGGCCCAGACUCCUACGGGAAGCAGCAGGAGGGAAUCUUCGGCAAUGGGCGGAAGUCUGACCGGGGAACGCCGGGUGAGUGAAGAAGGGUUUCGGAUCGGAAAGCUCUGUUGUAAGAGAAGAACGAGUGUGAGAGUGGAAAGUGCACACUGUGACGGUAUCUUACCAGAAAGGGACGGCUAACUACGUG